AUUGAACGCUGGCGGCAGGCCUAACACAUGCAAGUCGAACGGUAACACGAUACAUCUUUGUGUUUCUCUGACGAGUGGCGGGCGAGUGAGUCAUGUCUGGCCUACUCUCUGAUGUGGGGGGACAUCUACUAGAAACGGUAGCUACUACCGCAUAACGUCGCAAGAACAGUGAGGGGGGGAUUGUGGCCUCUUGCGCGCAUGUACGCGCAGAUGGUCUGCGCUAGUAGGUGGGGUAGCGGCUCCCCUAGGCGACGAUCCGUAGCUGGUGUGAGAGGAUGAUCAGCCACACGAGAACUGGACCACGGUCCAGGCUCCUGCGGGAGGCAGCAGUGGGGAAUAUUGGACAAUGGGCGCAAGCCUGAUGCAGCCAGGCCGCGUGUGUGAAGAAGGCCUUCGGGUUGUAAAGACCUUUUAGCGGGGAGGAAGCGCGUACAGUUAAUACCAAGCCUGAGUGACGGUACCCGGAGAAGAAGCACCGGCUAACUACGUG
rnacentral:rRNA from 1 species